rnacentral:rRNA from 1 species
UACGGAAGGCAGCAGUGGGGAAUAUUGCACAAUGGGCGCAAGCCUGAUGCAGCCAUGCCGCGUGUAUGAAAAAGGCCUUCGGGUUGUAAAGUACUUUCAGUCGUGAGGAAGGUGUUAAGGUUAAUAACCUUAGCAAUUGACGUUAGCGACAGAAGAAGCACCGGCUAACUCCGUGCCAGCAGCCGCGGUAAUACGGAGGGUGCGAGCGUUAAUCGGAAUUACUGGGCGUAAAGGGCACGCAGGCGGUUAAUUAAGUUGGAUGUGAAUCCCCGGGCUUAACCUGGGAAUGGCAUUCAAGACUGGUUAGCUAGAGUCUUGUAGAGGGGGUAGAAUUCCAUGUGUAGCGGUGAAAUGCGUAGAGAUGUGGAGGAAUACCGGUGGCGAAGGCGGCCCCUGGACAAAGACUGACGCUCAUGUGCGAAAGCUGGGGAGCAAACGAGGGAUUAGAUACC